AGGAAAGCAGGGGAUCGCAAGACCUUGCGCUUUUGGAGCGGCCGAUGUCUGAUUAGCUAGUUGGUGAGGUAAAGGCUUACCAAGGCUUCGAUCAGUAGCUGGUCUGAGAGGACGACCAGCCACACUGGGACUGAGACACGGCCCAGACUCCUACGGGAGGCAGCAGUGGGGAAUUUUGGACAAUGGGGGAAACCCUGAUCCAGCCAUGCCGCGUGAGUGAAGAAGGCCUUCGGGUUGUAAAGCUCUUUCAGCCGGAACGAAACGGUCACGGCUAAUACCUGUGAUCACUGACGGUACCGGAAGAAGAAGCACCGGCUAACUACGUGCCAGCAGCCGCGGUAAUGCGUAGGGUGCGAGCGUUAAUCGGAAUUACUGGGCGUAAAGCGUGCGCAGGCGGUUUUGUAAGUCAGAUGUGAAUCCCCGGGCUCAACCUGGGAACUGCGUUUGAACUACAAAGCU
rnacentral:rRNA from 1 species